rnacentral:rRNA from 1 species
AUACUCCGAGAACUGAAAGGCUUUUUGAAGUCUUCGGAUGGAUAGAAGAACCCCUGAUGCCGUCGAGCCAAGAAAAGUUUCUAAGUUUAGCUAAUGUUGCCCGUACCGUAAACCGACACAGGUGGGUGGGAUGAGUAUUCUAAGGCGCGUGGAAGAACUCUCUUUAAGGAACUCUGCAAAAUAGCACCGUAUCUUCGGUAUAAGGUGUGGUUCGCUUCGUAUUAGGAUUUACUCCGAAAGCGAAGAAACUUACAACAAAGAGUCCCUCCCGACUGUUUACCAAAAACACAGCACUCUGCUAACUCGUAAGAGGAUGUAUAGGGUGUGACGCCUGCCCGGUGCUCGAAGGUUAAUUGAUGGGGUUAGCAUUAGCGAAGCUCUUGAUCGAAGCCCGAGUAAACGGCGGCCGUAACUAUAACGGUCCUAAGGUAGCGAAAUUCCUUGUCGGUUAAAUACCGACCUGCAUGAAUGGCGUAACGAGAUGGGAGCUGUCUCAAAGAGGGAUCCAGUGAAAUUGUAGUGGAGGUGAAAAUUCCUCCUACCCGCGGCAAGACGGAAAGACCCCGUGGACCUUUACUACAGCUUGACACUGCUAUUUGGAUAAGAAUGUGCAGGAUAGGUGGGAGGCUUUGAGUAUAUGACGCCAGUUGUAUAUGAGCCAUUGUUGAGAUACCACUCUUUCUUAUUUGGGUAGCUAACCAGCUUGAGUUAUCCUCAAGUGGGACAAUGUCUGGUGGGUAGUUUGACUGGGGCGGUCGCCUCCCAAAUAAUAACGGAGGCUUACAAAGGUUGGCUCAGAACGGUUGGAAAUCGUUCGUAGAGUAUAAAGGUAUAAGCCAGCUUAACUGCAAGACAUACAAGUCAAGCAGAGACGAAAGUCGGUCUUAGUGAUCCGGUGGUUCUGUGUGGAAGGGCCAUCGCUCAAAGGAUAAAAGGUACCCCGGGGAUAACAGGCUGAUCUCCCCCAAGAGCUCACAUCGACGGGGAGGUUUGGCACCUCGAUGUCGGCUCAUCGCAUCCUGGGGCUGGAGCAGGUCCCAAGGGUAUGGCUGUUCGCCAUUUAAAGCGGUACGCGAGCUGGGUUCAGAACGUCGUGAGACAGUUCGGUCCCUAUCUGCCGUGGGCGUAAGAAGAUUGAAGAGAUUUGACCCUAGUACGAGAGGACCGGGUUGAACAAACCACUGGUGUAGCUGUUGUUCUGCCAAGAGCAUCGCAGCGUAGCUAAGUUUGGAAAGGAUAAACGCUGAAAGCAUCUAAGCGUGAAGCCAACUCUAAGAUGAAUCUUCUCUAAGCUCUCUAGAAGACUACUAGUUUGAUAGGCUGGGUGUGUAAUGGAUGAAAGUCCUUUAGCUGACCAGUACUAAUAGAGCGUUUGGCUUAUCUUUAAUAAAGCAU